AGUGGGGGAAAAAAGAAACUGCUUCAUAUGCUGUGAGAGCUCCUUGUGCUGUGGAUCACUGUGAAGGGAGCACAGUCCUGAGGGCAGCAGCUCCUGUUUGCAGCACACAGAGGUGAGCACAAAGGGGAGGGAGAAGGAGGCUGAGCAGAGCUGUGUCUGUGUGUCUGUCUGCAUGGCCUUGCCCUCUCCUGCAGCACAUCUGAGGCAAUGCCGGGAUGUGGUCACAUCUGCUGAGCAAGAAUUGGACACCUUUCCACAAUCCUGGGAGCAGCUGGGCAUGUUUGGAGACCUGCCGUGACUAUGAAGGCACUUCAGUCAUCACCUGCUGCUUCCCAGGAAUCCAUCCUCUGAGAGCUCCCCUGGGGCCAUCAUCUAACAAGAGGCCCAGUGUGGAUGGGAUGCCAGGUGCCAUUUCCUUGCAGCAAUGCCAGUUCCAGCCCCUCUGCCUGCCUGGGGCGCCAAGGGCACUGAAACAACUGCUUCUCAGUCACCUGUGGACUGAGCUCCUCUAUGGAUUUCACUCCAGGGAGCCAUGGAAGAGCUGGCCUGUGUUCCAUGGGCUCCUGGAGCAAACUGCAGGAAGACAUAACAAGGACUAACAGAAUUCUGAAGUAGAUGACCUGCAGCCACAUUAAUUAUUGAUCAUGUUAGUGGCUGAUAAGUUGUGCUAAAUUGAUCUGUUGCAAGAUAAUGUGAAUUAAAAGCUGCUUAAAUAUUUAAUUUUGAGCUCUUUCUAUAUGGCAGGAAUUUGAAUGAAUGGCUACACAGGAGUCAUGACUGGAAUCAACUUUUCAGUAAAACAAGCUGUCAGAAUAAAAGGUAGUAUCUAAAUGUAAAUCAUGAUUUAUUAGAGGAGGAAUCUCUUGCAGGUAAACAUUUUAAUGAAGGACUGGAAAUCUUUCCUCACAAAAUUCUCUAAAGGUAGGAGAGUAAAUUAAGAUUUUUUUUUGUUAUUAGUUUAAUUCCUCCAUAUUUUACUUUAAUUAAAUGCUGCUUCAUCUGCUGGGAAAAAGAGAGACUAAAAGCCUGUAAGAAGUGAAGGAAGACUAUUGGCUGAAACUCCAUAUGUUUGUUGCAGCACUGCAAUGCUGUACAGCUGGAGCACAGCUUGAGUAAAAUGAAUCUGUAGAUGACUGGUGAGAGGAAGUAAGGGGGCUAAUUCUGACAUUGGAUACAUAUAUGUGUGUGUGUAUAUAUAUAUAUAUCAGGCAAAAGAAUUUGCUGAUGACUCUGCACAGGGGCUUGUAACAGGAGGGAGCCAGUGCCCUGAGCUAAAGUGCUUUUGCCAGUGAGGUAAGUCCCACUGAAGAAAAACGUUGGCAUCACUCCCUCUGAAGAAGAGCUGCUUAGAUCCCCUCAGCAUACUCAGAUCUACUGCAUUGCAUCACAAAUUAUUUUGAAAGACUUCAUGGUGUCAUUAAUAGAGUUUUGAAGGCUGACAUGCAUUCUUGGUUGGUUUAGAUGCUGUAGUUCCAAAUAAAUCCUUCCCUGGCUUCUCCCAGCCUUUCUACAAAGAAACACCCUUAAUGUAAAGCAGUCUUGGUCCUGAAGUAGAAAGGUGUUUUAUUUCACCAGUUUAAUGCAAACAGG
ensembl:lncRNA